rnacentral:lncRNA from 1 species
UGCAACUGGUGUGAUCUCGGCUCACUACAACCUCUGCCUCCUGGGUUCAAGCGAUUCUCCUGCCUCAAGCUCCCAAGUAGCUGGGAUUACAAGCAUGCACCACCAUGCCUGGCUAAUUUUUGUAUUUUUAGUGGAGACGGGGUUUCGCCACAUUGGCCAGGGUGGUCUUGAACUCCUGACCUCAAGUGAUCCACCUGCCUUGGCCUCCCAAAGUGCUGGGAUUAUAAGCAUGAGCCACUGCACCCAGCCUUAUACUGAACUUUCAAUGGGUUCAAUUCCACUAGGAGCAUAAAGGCCACUGCAUAUGAGUUGUGGAAAGAAGAGAUUAGAAGAAGGAAGAACUUGAGAUGAGUUCCUCCCUUCAACAUUCUGUCUCCUCCUACCUAGCAUCUUCUUUCUUUUAGUCUUUCUAGAAUGUCCAUCUGUUUUUGGCCAUUGCGGAAAGAGAAGCUGAGCUUUAAAGGCGUAGGAGCUUCAAAGGCGUAGGAGCUUCAAAAUUCUUGUUUCUUCAUGUUUGAUCACCCUUCUAAACCUGUCUUCUGUUCCUUCUGCUAUUCUUUUUUCUUAGAGCAUAGGAAAGGGGAGCUUUUAAGUUAAUACUUAAAGCAUGGAAAAAAAGAACUUGAGAAGAAAGUAAAACAAGGGAGAUGAGGCUAGUAAAGUAAGGAAAAUGAAGAGGAAGAGGAGGAAGGGUUAGCUUCUAAAUUCCAAGUCAAAUUGAUAUGGAACAGGCAAGCCUCUUGUCUUACUUAAACUUCAGAAAAGGAUCUGCUGAAACUUGAUAGAAAUGGAAAGGGAAAUCCUUGGGGUGGGGAACCUCCAAACAUUAGUAAUGAUAUUGAACAACUCAGAGUAUUGAGGAAAUCUGCAGGCUACAUGCCUGAAGAUUACCCAUGCAGAUAGACCAAAAGGAUUAGAAUUAUCUGUUGAUAUUAGUAAUAUUUAUUGACAUCUAGCUAGUAUUGGUAAUUUUAAGUUUUAGAUUAAUUUCUUUGGUAAUAGCUAUGAUAUAUUUUAUAGACAAGAAUUAUAUCUAUAGGCUUGCUAUCAUAGGCUCUUUUAAUCAGCAUUAAUUUAGUCUACUGAUUUUUAGCACAUUUGAAUCAUUCACUUAUGCUAGGUAACUCAUUGCAAAAUAAAAAGAUGAUUCCUGUAUGUAUGGCAGCUAUACAUUAAGGAGGAGUCUACCAGAAUAUGAAAAAGUCAACUGACCUAAAUAUUGCUGAGACAAAGGAAAACCCACUCCCUUGGAGGAGCAUGACCUUUUCCUGUAAUUCUUCCCACUGCUGUUGUUGAGCUCCUUGGACCAUGGCUCCUGGACACCAUCAUCAAGAAGACUUUAUGGAUGGGCUGUCCACCCACUGAGAGAAGAGGAGCAUCAGCUACAGUUUCUCUCUAGAUUGCCUUCUUCAUUUUGAGUAAUGACUGUCAGCAGGGUCAGAUUAAAGACAAAACAACUGGACAAUUGCUUGGAGGACUAAACUAUAAGGGCACUAACAUAUCAAUAGUAUGCUAACACAUCCAUGGAAAAUAUAUUUACCAGCUCUUCUCUCAGGGAGGAUUCUGUGUGGGGUUGGAAGUAAUGAUUUGUUAAAUUCCUUAGGGGUAGAAAGUAGGGCAUAAUCAGAAUAUAGAGGAAUAGGCUGUUUGACUUCAGGGUUUCUGUUUUUCUUACUAGGAUAUAUAAAACAGGGACUCUAGCUAGAUUGUUUAUGACCACAGAGGGUAGGCUGAGCGCUCUCAUGAUCUUCCUGCUUGGUUCUUGCCCAUACAGAGGUCAGCCUUUCCUCUAAUAAAGAUUGAACAAGUAGUGGUCUGAGGGAGACACCAACUCAUUACCCUACAUGUCUCUUCUCUGCACUCCAGGGCUUUGAUAAUAAAGACACUGGCAGACUAUCUAUCUUCCAUUUCUAUAAUGUGAGCCCUUAGGGAGUCUUCGUUCACUUGGGGGUGAGGGUCAUUGCUCACAGAGUAGUUCAAGUCAAAUGGAACUUGAACUCUUUGCCUAUGGGCCUGGUGGUCAGACUCUGUGUUGAGUUCAUUAGAUUAUUGGAGACACAAGGUAGAGCUGGAUGCUUCAAAAAUAUUUGGCUAAAGGAUGACAUUGCUGGUUAUUUGUAGAUAAAGCCAUGAUGGAACCUGCUUGGAAUCAUGAAAUAUGGAACUGGUGGUCAUGUUUAAAAAUACAACUAAUAGUUAAGUACCUACUGGACACUGUAGAGACUUAGGGGCUAGACAGACAUGGUUCCUGCCCCCAUGGAGCUUACACUGUAGCUUCCCCUUAGGUAUGAAGAACAGUGGCUACAACUAACAAAUGGCCACAAAGAUAUAAUUGAGCCAGUGUUCCAAUUAUUAGGGUAAUUCCUAUUUCCUUAAUCAUGCCUAUUGACCAUGUUCUAUAAGCCUGCAUUCUAUAAAUGGCCUAUGACCAUGGGCUGUUUCCCCCCAGCAAGUUGUACAAAGUUCUGUGGUACCAGGGAAAGGGCUUAAGGUUAGCAGGGCCUCUGGGGAAGGACAUAUGAAGUGACUUGGGUUAGGAAACAGGAAGGGAUAGGAUUCAAGAACAGCUAUUGCUUCUGUUCUAUAUAGGAAACUGCAGCGUGAAAAAUGCUGGGCUGGGAAUUUUGAGACCUGGGUUUUAGUUUGUGUUCUAAUACUAACAAGCUAUGUGACUGUGGUUAAGUCAUUUCACAUUCCAUUUGGAUGCCUCUUGAGUGACUCCAGGCCUCUCCAGCUCUAAAACAUUGAGAUCAGGCCCUACGCUACAGCUGGCCAGUGUGUAGUUCUUCUGUUUCUAUGCUGUUAGGUCAAAUAGAUCUUCAAUAGUUACUUGAUUGUUAUUACUUUUUUCUGAAGUGGGUGUUUUAUCAGUGUUUUAGGAUACAGUGAGUCUGCUUCUCCCCUUUGGAGUUAGGAAGGUUGUAGGAAUAUACACUGUAGAGCAUAUGGGAGCUUUAUCUCCUCCUUUUUCCCCCCCUACCUUUCUCCCUCUCCUUCCCUUCGUCACAUUUCUAUUGAGCAUAUGCCAUUGCCGUGUACCAGGUGUGUGCUAGGUUUGGAGAUACAAGGUAAACUUGAGACUUUCCCAGCCUCCAGGAGACAAAACCCUAAUUUCUUUCAUCUGCUGUCUUUCUCUUUGGAAAGAAUCAACGAUAUCCCAGGGGAAUGUGCCCAUGUCCCAGGGUAACCAACUACAGACAGAUGCCCCAUUCUACUCAAGCAACUUUUAGAGUGCCUUGAGAUACACAUCAGAUAAUUAUGCAGGGCCAGGCAUGGUGGUGCACACUUGUAAUCACAGCACUUUGGGAGGCCGAGGCAGCAGAUUGCUUGAGCCCAGGAAUUCAAGUGUAGCCUAGGGAACAUGGCAAAACCCCAGCUCUACAAAAAAAUACACAAAUUAGCUGCGUGUGGUGGCCUAUGACAGGAGGCUGAGAUGGGAGGAUUGCUUGAGCCUGUGAGGUCGAGGCUGCAGUGAGCCGAGAUCAUGCCAUUGCACUCCAGCCUGGGUGACAUAGGGAGACCCUGUCUUGAAAAAAAAAAAAAAAAAAGAUAAUUAUUCAGCCCUAGAGUCAUUGUGAAAAGAUCUAUCUUCAGAUAUAAGGAAGAAACAAUCUUUUAUUUCUUAGGAUAAAUCUGUAGAAGGACCUCCAGACAGUGAAGGCCACUGACUACUUUACACUCUGUAAGCCAUCCCUCCCUGGUAGGAAGGACUAUUUCCAAUCUUACAGAGUACCUCUCAGCAAAUAGACGUUUUCACAUAUACUGUGAUUCAUACAUCCCUAUGGCUGGUGACCUCUUUAAAAAGGAAAGGAAAAAGCCUAAUCAAACAAAAAGAUUCUUUUUUUUACAAUAUUACAAUUGUAAUUACAAUAGUAAUUCUUACCCUAUUGUGAAUCCUAUAUAAGCAAAUUUGUAUCUUUGUUUUUUCCCACAUUAGCAGAUCUAUUUGAUGUAUAUCUCUGAGUGCAGAAAAUAUUUUAUGGAAAAAUCAAUAUAUGGAAUUUCAAAUUCAGAAUUGCUGAUACACACUAUUUGGUUUCAGAAUUUUAUCCUAGGAAAUAGUAUUAGAGAUUUCAAUUUCUGGCUUAAAUGGUAGAAUUAAUUACUCUUAACUCUUAAUUUUACUUCUGAGUUGAGGUCAAGGAACAGGCAGACACCUCCAGUUAACGUCUAUACCUCUCCAUGGCCAAGAGUUUUAAUUUUCUCGUCUUCAGUUUUGUAGAUGUACAUCAUUACUAAAUGGAUUGAUUAGUAUUUUAUCUCCUCUCCUUGUCCUUACUUUCCCUCUGGUAAAUAUGUUAUAAACAGUGUAAGGCUCCUAAGAUAGAGUAGCUGGUAGGACUUAGAAGAGAAACAAAGGGCACUGAUAACUCACAUAAAUGGAAAAUUGGCUCUGGAAUAACUGACAACAUAUUCAAGUAUUUUAGUGCAGUGUCAUUCUCAUUAAGAAGAAGAGAACCAGUAAAUCUAUGUGACUCUAAACAUUCUAAUGAAAAAAGGAAUAUUCUGCCAAUUAUCUCACAUUUCUAAAUAUCUGGAUAUUGGCCAUCAUAAAGACAAAACAUACAGAUGAUGGACUUGUCUUUCCACCUCUCAUUUGCAUGGUUUGGAGCAUUGUACCUCCAGCCAUUGACUCUAAGGCAAUUUAUAUUUGCUUCCUCUUCCCUCUUGAGAGAAAACGAAAAUCUUAUUUUUCCAAGCAAUUAAAACUCUUCUGCUUCAGCUAGGAUGAAAGAAUUAGGAGUUCUGUCUCUUUGUAUCUAAUUGCAUGUUUCAUCUUUCUUGUUUUAAUGAUUGACAGAAAACUAAUAAACUGAGACAUCUUUGAAUCCAGGUUGAAUGUACUCUCUUGGUGGCCCCAUUGCUAAUUUGUUUGACUAUUUUGCAGGAUUUCUUACUCUGUAAUGGAAAGGUUUAUUAAAUAUGAGGGGUGCAAAGCUUUCUGAAUACUAAUGAACUUAUUUGCCA